CCAGCACCUGCUAUUUUUUGACUUUCAAUAAUAGCCACAGUGAGAUGGUAUCUCAUUGUGUUUUUGAUUUGCAUUUUUCUAAUGAUCAGUGAUACUGAGUUUUUCUUUCGUAUGUUUUGGUCACAUGUAUGUCUUCUUUUGAAAAGUAUUCAUGUAUUUUGCCUAUUUUUGGAUGGGGUUGUUUGUUUUUAUUCUUGUAGCUUUGUUUAAGUUCUGUGUAGAUGCUGGACAUUAGACCUUUGUCAGAUGCAUAGUUUGAAAAAAUUUUCUUCCAUUCUUUAGGUUGUCUGUUUAUUCUGUUGAUAGUUCUUUUACUGUGCAGCAGCUCUUUAGUUUAAUUAGAUCCAAUUUGUCAAUUUUUGCUUUUGUUGCAAUUGCUUUUGGUGUGUUUCUCAUGAAAUCUGGGUGUGACAGCUGUCACCCCACAGAUCACCAGUUGACCCCACUGAUCACCGUUGAUUCGGCUCAUCUGGCUAGAUGGGUGUCUCCUUCCUUCCUCACCACUCCAUGUGUGUCCCUACUGAACCUGCGUGUUUGGUUGAAGAGAACAGCCAUCCUUGAUAGAGGAGGACCAGUCUUCAAUAAAGGAUAUACGAGUGGCUGUGCUUGCCUGCUACAACCUCCAAACAUGCUAUUAGUCUUGUGAAUAAAGGGAUGAGCCAUAUAACUAGACGCUGAGAAAGACCAGAACAGUGCUGGUUUAGAAACGGAGGACCACUGCAUUCUUAGUUCAUGUUUGGAAAGUGCUUUCAAAAAAUUUCAAGUACUUGGAUGAUCUUUAGAUGCCAUUGCUUUGAAAUAAUCUUUAUUUUAUAGCACAAAUAAAAUAUAACACCCCCAUUGAAUAUCUAUGUCCCGUUAUCUCUGAUAGAUUUCCAUAGGUAUAAACCUUUAAUCUGAAGGUCACACAAGGCUUGGGAAAAUACCAUCAUCAAGGGUCAGGUGAGUAUAUUGUAUAUUUUUAAUUGCAUAGUUCGAGUCACAGAUGCAGAUGUACAAAAUUUGGUCAGAUAAUUUUCUGAAGAUUUUCUAAAUCUUGAAUUUUCUCAAGAUUGGACAGGACUUUGGGUUAAUUAAUAAU
rnacentral:lncRNA from 10 species